rnacentral:rRNA from 1 species
GAUGAACGCUGGCGGCGUGCCUAAUACAUGCAAGUCGAGCGAACAGACGAGGAUCUUGCUCCUCUGACGUUAGCGGCGGACGGGUGAGUAACACGUGGAUAACCUACCUAUAAGACUGGGAUAACUUCGGGAAACCGGAGCUAAUACCGGAUAAUAUAUUGAACCGCAUGGUUCAAUAGUGAAAGACGGUUUUGCUGUCACUUAUAGAUGGAUCCGCGCCGCAUUAGCUAGUUGGUAAGGUAACGGCUUACCAAGGCAACGAUGCGUAGCCGACCUGAGAGGGUGAUCGGCCACACUGGAACUGAGACACGGUCCAGACUCCUACGGGAGGCAGCAGUAGGGAAUCUUCCGAACUGGGCGAAAGCCUGACGGAGCAACGCCGCGUGAGUGAUGAAGGUCUUCGGAUCGUAAAACUCUGUUAUUAGGGAAGAACAAAUGUGUAAGUAACUAUGCACGUCUUGACGGUACCUAAUCAGAAAGCCACGGCUAACUACGUG